rnacentral:rRNA from 1 species
GCGGUAGAGAGAAGCUUGCUUCUCUUGAGAGCGGCGGACGGGUGAGUAAUGCCUAGGAAUCUGCCUGGUAGUGGGGGAUAACGUUCGGAAACGAACGCUAAUACCGCAUACGUCCUACGGGAGAAAGCAGGGGACCUUCGGGCCUUGCGCUAUCAGAUGAGCCUAGGUCGGAUUAGCUAGUUGGUGAGGUAAUGGCUCACCAAGGCGACGAUCCGUAACUGGUCUGAGAGGAUGAUCAGUCACACUGGAACUGAGACACGGUCCAGACUCCUACGGGAGGCAGCAGUGGGGAAUAUUGGACAAUGGGCGAAAGCCUGAUCCAGCCAUGCCGCGUGUGUGAAGAAGGUCUUCGGAUUGUAAAGCACUUUAAGUUGGGAGGAAGGGCAGUUACCUAAUACGUGAUUGUUUUGACGUUACCGACAGAAUAAGCACCGGCUAACUCUGUGCCAGCAGCCGCGGUAAUACAGAGGGUGCAAGCGUUAAUCGGAAUUACUGGGCGUAAAGCGCGCGUAGGUGGUUUGUU